UCCUCUUUGCAUCGUGCCUAACAUUUUCAUGAAAAUCUCUUACGGCUUUAGGGAAUUUAAUUUCCAUGUAGUUUGGAUUAUUAUUAAAUCGAUGGUAAAUCGGAGGGUUAAAGGGCAUGUCAAGAAACGAGUACCAUUAGCAAUGAGUUUGAUUCUAAUCUCUUUUCAUAUUUUUUUACCUGAUUUAUUCAGUGUCACAUACACCGUUAUAAUCACCUGCAAUCAUCCAUUAACACCACUUCCGAUCAGUCAUCGUCAUUUAAACUAUUUUAGGGCUUCUUUCUUUUGUUCCUCUUUUAACUGCUUCAUUUAAGUUUUGUCAUUUGCUGAAUUUGUUUGUUGCUUUUUUUUUGUAAUUAGGUCAACAGAAACUGUGGGGGUCGAAGAUGAAGGUCUUCUCCAUCUAAUUAAUCAAUUCUCCAUUAUCUCUCUUUCUAUCUUCCCAAAGAACUACAACCAGACUCUUCGCAAAGUAAAUGAUUUGAGAAAUCGAUUGAAUUAAACUGGAGUGUAAUUGUUUUCAAUGUGAGAUUGUUUCGAGUUCUUGAUUAUAUAUGUUUAUGGGUAUGUUGUCUUUUUCUAGACCUUCUUUUCCCUUUUGAGGUCCUAUUGCUUUGGAACAUUGAGUUUACAUCAACGCCUCCUCUGUUUGCCGCCAUUCCUGGAUAGGUGUUUUUCAUGUUUAGUUCUAUUUUUGUAUUGUGGUUGAUGAAUCAUAUAGAAAUAUUCUAAUGAAAAAGACUUUGAU
rnacentral:lncRNA from 1 species